CAGUCGCCGCGGGAAUACAGAGGGUGCGAGCGUUAAUCGGAUUUACUGGGCGUAAAGCGUGCGUAGGCGGCUUCUUAAGUCGGAUGUGAAAUCCCUGAGCUUAAAUUAGGAAUUGAAUUCGAUACUGGGAAGCUAGAGUAUGGGAGAGGAUGGUAGAAUUCCAGGUGUAGCGGUGAAAUGCGUAGAGAUCUGGAGGAAUACCGAUGGCGAAGGCAGCCAUCUGGCCUAAUACUGACGCUGAGGUACGAAAGCAUGGGGAGCAAACAGGAUUAGAUACCCGGGUAGUCCCUGUCUCUUAUAC
rnacentral:rRNA from 1 species